rnacentral:lncRNA from 1 species
ACUUACUGUGUCUCAAGCUGGGAACCUGGACUCCUGACAGGUAGUCAACAUGAUGCUCUCCAACAUGGUGCUAGACACUGUGGAAUUCCCUUUUCCCUGAGGUGAGGUAAAGGUAAAUCCCCCUGGAUGGUUAGGUCCAGUCAAAGGCAACUAUGGGGUGCGGUGCUCAUCUCACUUUUCAGGCCGAGAGAGCCGGCAUUUGUCCACAGACAGCUUUCUGAGUCAUGUGGCCAGCAUGACUAAACUGCUACUAGUGCACAGAGGACCAUGAUGAGUGCCAGAGCACACAGAUAUGCAGUUUUCCUUCCCGCUGUGGCGGUACCUAUUUAUCUACUUGCACUGGUAUGCUUUCAAACUGGUAGGUUGGCAGAAGCUGGGACAGAGCAAUGGGAACUCACCCCGUCACGUGGCUUCGAACUGCUGAGCUUCCGAUCAGCAAGCCCAAGAGUCUCGGUGGUUUAGACCACAGCACCACCUGUGUCUGAUGUCAAUAUGGUUUAGCUUUCAGCCCCAGUUAAAGACCUCUCUCUUCCUCCAGCUUUUAGUAGGGGUCAAGUUAAUGCUGUAGACCCACCUGUUCUUUUAUACUGAGAAUGAGCAGACCGAAUGAGUUUACCUAAGAUUUAAAAUAUUGUUUUAAGGUGCAUAAUAUUUUAUUGGUUAGUUUUAUUGUGUGCACUGGCUUGUAGUAUGGAAUUUGCUCUGGAAUCACCCUGUGGUGAAGAACAGGAUAUGAAUUGUAUAAAUAAAUAAAACUCCCAUCAUCCCUGAUCAUUGGCCAUGCUGACUGGGGCUAACAGGACCUAUCCUUCAAUAACAUCUGAAGGACAACAUAUUGGCUACUCCUGGACAUAAAGUAUUUGAUGUGCAUAUCUAGGCCAGGAAUGGAGAACCUGCAAUCCUCCAAUCAGAGGUUGUUGGAUCUGAACUCCCAUCAAAUCUGACUAUAGGUCUUGCUGGCUGGGGCUGAUAGUUGGAAUUUGUGGUAAUAUCAUCCCUUUAAGACUAGUAUAUGGGCAUUGAUGAUGUUCAUGCUACAAAGAAAUAAAUUAAAUUGAUCUUGGUAAUGAAAGUGUACAUGGGGAAUUUCUCGUGAAGCUACAGAACUUUCUGUGUGGAUCAGUUUGUAUUUGACUGUGCCCUUUUGUGGUUAGAAAUAUUUAUAUCCCUUCAGUUGGUGGCGGACUGCUUAGAACAAGCAUUCCAAAUGAUCACUGGGUGGUGUAAAGACCCUUGGCAGGCAGCUGGAACCACAAAAACCAAAUGAAAGGGUCUAAAGGAGACUGUGGGAACUUCAUUUUAUUUAGUCCUUGAGGCCACCUGGAUUUGGCGAGAAGGAGGAUCGAAAAACAGCCAGAAUUCUGCACGUCUAUACAGUCUUGCAUUUAUCAUUGUCAGAGACCAUUGAAAGAGGGAUAAUUUUUCCCUGUUUGGGGAAUAAUUCCAAGCGUUCUAUGCAUCAUUAUGAAAAGGGGAGAAAUGACAGUUGGGUAUAGUUAUCUUGGGCUUUUGUUUCAGGGUUAAGUAAGCUGUAUGGAUGACUGUAGGAAAGCUCCACACCUAAUUAUGGGAUUUAGUGACUAAGGAGGCCGCAAGGUUCUGGCUAGCUAACAUUUCCUUGUGUCCCUGUGGCUUUCAGAUGAACAUAUAUUCAAUCUACAUAAGGAGUUAUACUGGAGAAUCUCCUUCCCUCCCUCCCUUCCCAACCUAACCAAAUUUGUGUUAGUGUUAGGUCAGUUAUAGGGAACCUCAGGUCCAGAAGCUGAAUGUGACCCUCCAGAUUGUUCUUCAGACCCUUGAGACUCUUUCUAGCCCAUUCCCCCUGCACAUGCCAUACUCCCUUUCAAUAGUUUGAUUUUUAGCACUUACAUUACUUUGAUUUCAGUCUUGCCCUGUAACAACAGAUACAUUGUGCUAAUGCUAGACAUGUCUAACCGCCUCUUUAUAUAUAAAGUUGCCAGCUUACAAGAAGUCAGAACUUCUGCCUACUUCUCCUUAUAACAUAGAGGACCGUUUGCUCACAUUUAGCUGUUCCCAGCAUUUCCUUAUACAGUGGUACCUCGGGUUACAUACACAGAAAUCAUGCUCCAGCGGCGCGGCGGCAGCAGGAGGCCCCAUUAGCUAAAGUGGUGCUUCAGGUUAAGAACAGUUUCAGGUUAAGAACAGACCUCCAGUACGAAUUAAGUACUUAAACCGAGGUACCACUGUACAGUCAUACCUUGGGUUACAGACGCUUCAGGUUGCAUUUUUUCGGGUUACGGACACUCCAAAACCCAGAAGCACUGGAACGGGUUACUUCCAGGUUCCGGCAGUCAUGCAUGCGCAGAAUCGCUAAAUUGAGCUUUGCGCAUGUGCAGAAGCACCGAAUUGCAACCUGCGCAUGUGCAGGUGCGGCGCUGCGGGUUGCGAAUGCUGUGGGUUGUGAACGUGCCUCCCGCACAGAUCACGUUUGCAACCCGAGCGUCCACUGUAAUAUCUAGCUUGCUUGUUUUCCAUAUGUUCUUCCAGGCUUGGCAUACAUGAUUCUUGUGAUAAUUAAAAUGUAUAUUUUAACCCUUUCUUGGCAAUGAUUGUCUUUUCAGAUUUUUCAAAUGCGAAUUGGUGAAUAAACCUUUUCAAUACCUUCUGCAUACUUCAGUAUUUUUCUGUAUCUUGUUGGCCCAUUUAAAAAUCACAGCUUUUUAGUCCUUGUUCCAAACUUUUGAGGUGGAUGGACAGGAAUGUCUGUUCAUGCUUCAUUCUACAUCACCAGCAAGAAUGAGAUCACAUGAAUUUACAGGCACUUCAUUUGAAAAGUUUACACUUCCCAAGAUACUGCAGGAAUACUCAUGGGAAAUGCAAGUGCUCCUUAGCUAUGGAGAAAACUUUUUGCAUCAUGGCUGUGGAAUUCACACUUGUCAAAAAUACAGAAAGUUCUUCAUUACAAGAUAGCAGUUCUAGAAGAAGCAGAAUGAGGAACAGUGAGCAUGCAGAAGGCAAGGCAGAGUGUGUGGGACUGUGAUCUAGUCAGUCCUGUUUUGAAAGCCCUCCUGUUCAGACUGCUAUCAACAAUCCUAAAAUGCAGAACACGCCGUAACUGAAAGGUUCAGUCCUCUCUAGGAAUCAGAUCAGUUACUGAGGCUGCACAAGUCAUUAUAAACCAUCGGAUUGUCCUUCAAAUCCUACCCACUUCUCCAUGUGAGAGUUUGUUUUCGCCAGCACCC